AAAAGUCGUGUCUCCUAGUGUUUUUUCUUGUGUUGUUUGCUCAGAGGUGUUUUGUACAGAAAACAUAAAUAAAGAACUGUUGUUAUUUAGUGCUAUAGUAGUUUAAUAAUAAACUUGAAAUGGACAGCUGGAGUGAACUGUGACCUAAAUAACAAUAUCAUUUGUUUGUGCUUGGUACUUCACUAAUAUCUUUUUCCUCCUAGGUUCGCAUAUUGUGUUCCAUUAUGGCUCUGGCAGGAGUGCGUGUAAUUGAGCUCGCAGGACUGGCCCCUGCACCCUUCUGCGGGAUGAUACUGGCGGACUUCGGUGCAAGAGUGAUCCGGGUAGAUCGAACAAAGGGGGCAAUGACUGUAGAUACUCAGGCAAGAGGCAAACGUUCAGUGGCAUUGAAUCUGAAGAAUCCCAAAGGUGUGGCUGUUUUCAAAAGACUGUGUGUCCAGUCAGAUGUGGUUCUGGAGCCCUAUCGUAAAGGUGUUAUGGAGAAGAUGGGAUUAGGUCCUGAAGAUUUACUAAAAGAGAACCCACGCCUGAUCUAUGCACGACUCACCGGCUACGGUCAGAGCGGAUCCUACGCCAAGGCUGCCGGCCAUGAUAUCAACUACCUGGCCAUGUCAGGGUUACUGUCCAUGCUUGGCCGUAGCUCAGAGAAACCCUACGCUCCACUGAAUUUGGUGGCAGACUUUGCUGGAGGAGGUCUCAUGUGUGCUUUUGGGAUUGUGUUGGCCCUCCUGGAAAGGAGCAGGUCAGGACAAGGCCAGAUCAUUGAUGCCAGCAUGGUGGAAGGUGCAGCAUAUGUCGGCUCCUUCAUGUGGAAGUCCCGUAGCCUCGGCCUGUGGAAUCGUCCUCGUGGGGAAAACAUGCUGGAUAGUGGCGCUCCAUUCUAUGAUACGUACCGUACGUCUGACGGAAAGUAUAUGGCAGUGGGGGCCAUUGAGCCUCAGUUCUAUCAACAGCUUAUUAAAGGUCUGGCCUUAGAUGAUGCUGACCUGCCCGCACAAAUGAGUGUAUCUGAUUGGCCGCAGCUCAGGCAGACAUUCACCCGGGUGUUUGCCACCAAGACGCAAGCGGAGUGGAGUCGGAUUUUUGAUGGGACAGAUGCCUGUGUCACCCCUGUGCUGUCACUGGAUGAGGUACUCUCUCACCCCCACAACCAGGCACGGGGGUCAUUCUUCAAGGACUCGCAAGGGGAAAUUAGCCCCCGACCUGCACCCGUUCUGUCUCGCUCCCCUGCAGAACCCUGCCACUCCCGGGACCCCUUCAUCGGAGAGCACACUCGCUCUGUGCUGAAGGAGUACGGGUUUGAGCAAGCACAAAUAGAACAGCUUUUAUCUGCCGGUAUCAUAGAGUGUAACGAAGCUAAAGCGCGUCUAUAAAUCAAAGACUCUGAUUGGAGAAUCAUUACACUUUGUGGCCAGUGAUGCAGCGCAGGAAUCUGAGCACUUGAACUCCUCUGUCUCGAGUGUGAGGGGACAUUUCAGAACAAAAUUACUCUCCCUUGUGAAUCAGUGGGUAGUGCUGUCGAAGUGGACUAAAUGAUCCUGGGCUUUUCAGUUAAAAUGUCCAAAGAAUUCAACUCACAUUUGUAAUUGCUGCAGGGAAAGUCAAGUAGGAUUUAAUUAAAGCCUGUUGCAAAUAUUCUGUAUUAAUCUUAACAUCCCUAUUUUUGUCAGCAACCUCAUUCAACAAAGAUAUUCAAUAUUGGCUUAUUUUUUUAAGACUGUUCUGAAUAAAUAAUAGGAUUGUGAGGGCAUAUUAUUUGUAGUUGAUUAAAGCAUACCGCUUUUGGUUCUGAAUUUAAAUCCUUGACUAAUAAGUGCCUUUAGCAAGAAUAGCUGAGUGUGAGUCAUAGACUUAUUAACUGAGUGAAAUAUUUGCCUUUGCCUAAUUGCUAUGCAGCGCUGAUGAGCCAAGAUAAUAGUAUUAGGAUAAAACCAAUUAAUGAUUUAGCUUAAGAUGAAGUUUUCUGUUGUCAUAAUAUCGCUACUUGUAUAAAAUGCAACACUUGUUGAACAUGGUAGUGGCUUAUAAUGUAGAUAUCUGUUUUAUGGCCUGUAUUUACUAUUUGUAAUGGGGUCAGUAAGUUUUGUUUUUGUCACUUGAGGCCAAUUCACACUGUACUGACAAUGACAACAGACACGUUUGUCGGGUUUUGUUGGAUCAGUGUGUUAGCCCAUCCGUGUCCUGUUGGCAUUGGUCACCGCUUGGUCAUUUUUGCCCAUUGAAUUGGUGUUUUUUUUGGUCUUCAAAUGUCUAUGAAAUGAUGUACUGUAAUCUGGGGAUCAUUGUAUUAGUCGGCAUAUGGCUACUUUUAAUAUAGUAAAAACAGUAAUAUUGUGAAAUAUUAUUGUAAUUUAAAUGAACUGUAAUCUGUUUUAAUUAUUCCUGUGAUGGAAGUUGAAUUUUCUACAGCCAUCACACCAGUCUUCAAUGUCACAUGAUCCUUCAGAAAUCAUUUUAAUAUGCUGAUUUGGUGUUCAAUAAACAUUUGUUAUUAUUAUCAAUGUUCCAGACAGAAUGUUGCUGCUGGAUAUUUUUGUGGAAACGAAUAUAUAUUAUUAUUUUUUUUCAGGGAUCUUUCAUGAAUAGAAAGUUCAA